rnacentral:rRNA from 1 species
AGUGAACGCUGGCGGUAGGCCUAACACAUGCAAGUCGAACGGCGGCACAGGAGAGCUUGCUCUCUGGGUGGCGAGUGGCGGACGGGUGAGGAAUACAUCGGAAUCUACUCUGUCGUGGGGGAUAACGUAGGGAAACUUACGCUAAUACCGCAUACGACCUACGGGUGAAAGCAGGGGACCUUCGGGCCUUGCGCGAUUGAAUGAGCCGAUGUCGGAUUAGCUAGUUGGCGGGGUAAAGGCCCACCAAGGCGACGAUCCGUAGCUGGUCUGAGAGGAGGGUCAGCCACACUGGAACGGGGACACGGUCCAGACUCCUACGGGAGGCAGCAGUGGGGAAUAUUGGACAAUGGGCGCAAGCCUGAUCCAGCCAUGCCGCGUGGGUGAAGAAGGCCUUCGGGUUGUAAAGCCCUUUUGUUGGGAAAGAAAUCCAGCUGGUUAAUACCCGGUUGGGAUGACGGUACCCAAAGAAUAAGCACCGGCUAACUUCGUGCCAGCCGCCGCCGUAA